CCGACCUGCGCCGCAAAGGGAACGGCGGCGGUAUCGCGGGGGUUAGAGGUCAUCAUGCUCAGGGUCGCGUGGAGGGCGCUGAGUUUGAUUCGGACCCAGGCCCCAGUUCUCGGGCUGCCGGACGGUGGGAGCGCCAGGUGUCCUUUCAACCAGCGGGGCCUGCAGCCUCGAAGUCUCCUCCUCCAGGCCGCGCGCGGAUAUGUCAUCCAGAAACCAGCCCAGCCUGGGCAGGAUGAUAACCCACCUCCUUCUACACUGUUCAAAGACUACCAGAAUGUCCCUGGAAUUGAGAAGGUUGAUGAUGUCGUGAAAAGACUCUUGUCUUUGGAAAUGGCCAACAAGAAGGAGAUGCUAAAAAUGAAGCAAGAACAGUUGAUGAAGAAGAUUGAUGCAAACCCGGAGGACACCAGAUCCCUGGAGGCUCGAAUUGUCUUGUCCGUCAAGAUCCGCAGUUAUGAAGAACACAUGCAGAAACAUCGAAAGGACAAAGCCCACAAACGCUAUCUGCUGAUGAGCAUUGACCAGAGGAAAAAGAUGCUCAAAAACCUCCGUAACACCAACUAUGAUGUCUUUGAGAAGAUCUGCAGGGAGCUGGGGAUUGAGUACACCUUCCCCCCUCUGUAUUACUGAAGAGCCCACCGCCGAUUCGUGACCAAGAAGGCUCUGUGCAUUCGGGUUUUUCAGAAGACUCAAAAGCUGAAGAAGCAAAAAAGAGCCUUAAAGACUGCAGCAGCAGCAGCCCAAAAACAAGCAAAGCAGAGGAACCCAGACAGCCCUGCCAACACUGGACCAGAGACACUCAAAGACAGCCAAUAAAUUCU